UACGAAGGGGGCUAGCGUUGUUCGGAAUUACUGGGCGUAGAGCGCGCGCAGGCGGCUAUCCAAGUCAGUGGUGAAAGCCCGGAGCUCAACUCCGGAACUGCCAUUGAAACUGUUUAGCUUGAGGAUGAGAGAGGUGAGUGGAAUUCCCAGUGUAGAGGUGAAAUUCGUAGAUAUUGGGAAGAACACCGGUGGCGAAGGCGGCUCACUGGCUCAUUACUGACGCUCAGGCGCGAUAGCGUGGGGAUCAAACAGG
rnacentral:rRNA from 1 species